rnacentral:rRNA from 1 species
CGAACGGGUGAGUAAUAUAUCGGAACGUGCCCAGUAGUGGGGGAUAGCCCGGCGAAAGCCGGAUUAAUACCGCAUACGACCUACGGGUGAAAGCGGGGGAUCGCAAGACCUCGCGCUAUUGGAGCGGCCGAUACCAGAUUAGCUAGUUGGUGGGGUAAAAGCUCACCAAGGCGACGAUCUGUAGCUGGUCUGAGAGGACGACCAGCCACACUGGGACUGAGACACGGCCCAG